UACGGGGGGGGCAAGCGUUGUUCGGAAUUACUGGGCGUAAAGAGCUCGUAGGUGGUUUGUCGCGUUGUCCGUGAAAACUCACAACUCAAUUGUGGGCGUGCGGGCGAUACGGGCAGACUGGAGUACUGCAGGGUAGUGGAAUUCCCGGUGUAGCGGUGAAAUGCGUAGAGAUCGGGAGGAACACCAGUGGCGAAGGCGGCUACCUGGACCAGCACUGACACUGAGGCACGAAAGCGUGGGGAGCAAACAGG
rnacentral:rRNA from 1 species